UCUAUAUACAUUUAUUAUAUUACAUGAAUUAUAUUUAUUAUAUCACAUUACAGUACAGUAUAGUAAUUAUAUUCAUUAUAUUCCAUUACAUUACAGUCUAGCAUAGUACACUUAUUAUAUUUAUUAUAUUACAGCACAUUGCAGCAUAGUAUAUUUAUUAUCCUUAUUAUAUUUAUUGUACUUACCUUAAUUAUAUUGUAUUACAUUCAACUAUUACAUUAUAUUAAACUGUGUAUAAUUAUCAGCAUCCUGACAUGAGGAACCUCAUUUCCAAAGCCCGAGGACCAAGCAGAGAAGAUCCGUGACACAUAACCGCAGGUCGGAACUAUUCAAAAUACCCGCCAGCAGCAUUCCUCUGCCCGAGGGUGACAGUGACAUCCCCGUGAGUCAGACCCAAGCAGAGCGAAAGGUCGCCCUGGGUUAUCGCGGGGGGCAGCCGUCGGGGGGCCAGGCGGGUGGUGGCAGGAAGAGCACCGUGAGUCAGCCCUGCGCCGCCGCACCACCACCGCCUGCCCUGCUCCGGGGCCACGGAGAGAAAGGGUCAUCUCAAUGAAAAAAGAGUUAUUAAAACAUGGUUAAUCUCCUUUCUCCUGCUCAGAUUAUCUUUCCCCGUCUAGUAGCGAGACCAGCCCGGCAAACUGUUGUCAGCAGGGCAAGGACAUCAGUGGGAUGACCUGAGUAAUCGUUGUUUGGGGAGUACUGUAUUUUUUCCUGGAAUUUUUCAAAAUAUUUCUCAUCAUGCAGCCUUGAAAAGGAGAAUUGUAACCAUUUUUAUAAUUACUUCUUUUGUUUGUUUUUUUUUAAAAAAAGAACAGAAAACUAUCAGGUUUUUUUCCUUUCCACCCAUCACAUUCUGUCUCCUUUCUUUUUCUGUUGUUUGCCCAGACCAUUCCCCCCUUAUUUUGCUCUUUUGCUUCUGAAAACAGACAAAAAUGAAAAAGAAAGAAAAAGGAAAAGAACAGAAAAAGGAAAAGAAAACGAAAAAGGAAAAAGAAAAGGAAAAGAAAAAGAAGGAAAAAGGAAAAGGAAAACACCACCAGAAGUGAAAUAAAACCCACAACUGGGGAAUGACAGGUUUUACUAAAGCAACGCAAGGUCAGCGUUACCAAGCCCUCCAGGAAGCUUCUGGGAAUUACCCCCUGUGCAUGUUUUGUGGCGAUGAAGAGCAGCUGAGCUCUUCCCAGACAAAUGAUUCACGCUGGCAGGAAUGGAAUCUUAGGGGGAGACGAUGGCUUAUAGGCUGAGGUUAAGGACCCCUGGGCUGACCCCAGCCCUGCGCCAUGCCCCUGCCUGCCCCUCUCCUGGGCGAGCAUCCCUGCGGGCAGAAUCACACCCAUAGGCUUUUGUUUCCCGUGCAGGUGAACGAGCUGGAAUUUUCAAGGGGUUGGAAGGAUAGACCGGAAUGCUCUGUAGGCCAAGCUCGGAGCUCUCCAUCGUUCCUCCUGCAGUUGAAAGGAAAAUAGCAUUUCCUUGGUACUCCCCUUCCCAGAGCGCCAUGGAUGAAGCACCGUGUAAGCUAUGCGAACCGCACAGGAAGAGGACAAGACAAACAUACAAGUUUAAUAAAGUAACCUACUCGCAACCAGCGAAGUGAGGAACCAGGGAUUUGCUGCUCCGCAGGGGAUCCCGAGGGCUAAUUGCAGUGACCGAGUCUUUCGGUAAAAACACUGGUCUCAAAAUUGAAAAAAAAAAAGGGUCAAAUACCCUUUCCUUUGA